UCACAUACACUGUGCGCAUCGUCGCGAAGAAUCGUUUCGUGCUGAUGUAGCUGGAACGAUCUUCGCGCGUUUAGACGAAGCGCGUCGCCGUCGCCUGUUCAGGUUGCACGGAGAGGAGCUUGUUCGGCGUGUGGGGUGAAGCACCUGCGAUAAAGGUCGCUUCGCUGCUACCUUCCGAGCACGCUGCAACGCGGACUCGAUACCGAGUACGCGCCUGGCUAAGGCUGCUUGCCGUCAAUGGCUCGGCUGAACGUCCAAACGAUCCAAUUGGACGCGGCAAACGUUGCUGUCUUUGCCGUCUUCCUGCGCAUGAUUUGUUUUUUUCAAAGUGCGCAUAGAUCGGACGAGUCGGUCGGCGGUAGCAACCAAUGCACUGACACUUGUUUCUCGGUGACCUCAGAUCAGACGAGGCUAC
rnacentral:misc_RNA from 1 species